rnacentral:rRNA from 1 species
GUCGAGCGGAGCGAGGGUGCUUGCACCUUAGCUUAGCGGCGGACGGGUGAGUAAUGCUUAGGAAUCUGCCUAUUAGUGGGGGACAACAUUCCGAAAGGAAUGCUAAUACCGCAUACGCCCUACGGGGGAAAGCAGGGGAUCUUCGGACCUUGCGCUAAUAGAUGAGCCUAAGUCGGAUUAGCUAGUUGGUGGGGUAAAGGCCUACCAAGGCGACGAUCUGUAGCGGGUCUGAGAGGAUGAUCCGCCACACUGGGACUGAGACACGGCCCAGACUCCUACGGGAGGCAGCAGUGGGGAAUAUUGGACAAUGGGCGGAAGCCUGAUCCAGCCAUGCCGCGUGUGUGAAGAAGGCCUUUUGGUUGUAAAGCACUUUAAGCGAGGAGGAGGCUACUGGUACUAAUACUACUGGAUAGUGGACGUUACUCGCAGAAUAAGCACCGGCUAACUCUGUGCCAGCAGCCGCGGUAAUACAGAGGGUGCGAGCGUUAAUCGGAUUUACUGGGCGUAAAGCGUGCGUAGGCGGCUGAUUAAGUCGGAUGUGAAAUCCCUGAGCUUAACUUAGGAAUUGCAUUCGAUACUGGUCAGCUAGAGUAUGGGAGAGGAUGGUAGAAUUCCAGGUGUAGCGGUGAAAUGCGUAGAGAUCUGGAGGAAUACCGAUGGCGAAGGCAGCCAUCUGGCCUAAUACUGACGCUGAGGUACGAAAGCAUGGGGAGCAAACAGGAUUAGAUACCCUGGUAGUCCAUGCCGUAAACGAUGUCUACUAGCCGUUGGGGCCUUUGAGGCUUUAGUGGCGCAGCUAACGCGAUAAGUAGACCGCCUGGGGAGUACGGUCGCAAGACUAAAACUCAAAUGAAUUGACGGGGGCCCGCACAAGCGGUGGAGCAUGUGGUUUAAUUCGAUGCAACGCGAAGAACCUUACCUGGUCUUGACAUAGUAAGAACUUUCCAGAGAUGGAUUGGUGCCUUC